AGAUUGAACGCUGGCGGAAUGCUUUACACAUGCAAGUCGAACGGCAGCACGGGGGCAACCCUGGUGGCGAGUGGGCGAACGGGUGAGUAAUACAUCGGAACGUGCCCAGUCGUGGGGGGAUAACUACGCGAAAGCGUAGCUAAUACCGCAUACGAUCUACGGAUGAAAGCGGGGGAUCGCAAGACCUCGCGCGAUUGGAGCGGCCGAUGGCAGAUUAGGUAGUUGGUGGGGUAAAGCUCACCAAGCCGUCGAUCUGUAGCUGGUCUGAGAGGACGACCAGCCACACUGGGACUGAGACACGGCCCAGACUCGUACGGGAGCAGCAGGUGGGAAUUUGGACAGUGGGCGCAAGGCCUAGACUCCAGACCAUUCCGCGUCGCAGGACGUGGAACGGU
rnacentral:rRNA from 1 species